GGUAACGGCUCACCAAGGCAACGAUGGUUAGGGGGUCUGAGAGGAUGAUCCCCCACACUGGUACUGAGACACGGACCAGACUCCUACGGGAGGCAGCAGUGAGGAAUAUUGGGCAAUGGGCGCAAGCCUGACCCAGCCAUGCCGCGUGCAGGAUGAAGGCGCUAUGCGUUGUAAACUGCUUUUGUUCGGGAAGAAAUCCAUCUACGUGUAGGUGGUUGACGGUACCGAAAGAAUAAGCAUCGGCUAACUCCGUGCCAGCAGCCGCGGUAAUACGGAGGAUGCGAGUGUUAUCCGGAUUCAUUGGGUUUAAAGGGUGCGUAGGCGGAAUAUUAAGUCAGUGGUGAAAUCCUGCAGCUUAACUGUAGAACUGUCAUUGAUACUGGUAUUCUUGAAUGCAGUUGAGGUAGGCGGAAUGUGUAAUGUAGCGGUGAAAUGCUUAGAUAUUACACAGAACACCGAUUGCGAAGGCAGCUUACUAAACUGUGAUUGACGCUGAGGCACGAAAGCGUGGGGAGCAAACAGGAUUAGAUACCCUGGUAGUCCACGCCGUAAACUAUGAUUACUCGCUGUUGGCGAUAUACAGUCAGCGGCUGAGCGAAAGCAUUAAGUAAUCCACCUGGGGAGUACGAUCGCAAGGUUGAAACUCAAAGGAAUUGACGGGGGCCCGCACAAGCGGAGGAACAUGUGGUUUAAUUCGAUGAUACGCGAGGAACCUUACCUGGGCUUAAAUGUAGAGCGACAGACCGGGAAACUGGUCCUUCUUCGGACGAUCUACAAGGUGCUGCAUGGUUGUCGUCAGCUCGUGCCGUGAGGUGUCGGGUUAAGUCCCAUAACGAGCGCAACCCUUAUCGUUAGUUGCCAACGGGUAAUGCCGGGGACUCUAGCGAAACUGCCGGUGUAAACCGUGAGGAAGGUGGGGAUGACGUCAAAUCAGCACGGCCCUUAUGUCCAGGGCGACACACGUGUUACAAUGGCCGGUACAGAGGGCAGCUACCUGGUGACAGGAUGCUAAUCUCGAAAACCGGUCUCAGUUCGGAUUGAAGUCUGCAACUCGACUUCAUGAAGCUGGAUUCGCUAGUAAUCGCGCAUCAGCCAUGGCGCGGUGAAUACGUUCCCGGGCCUUGUACACACCGCCCGUCAAGCCAUGGAAGCCGGGAGUACCUGAAGUCCGUAACCGCAAGGAGCAGCCUAGGGUAAAACUGGUGACUG
rnacentral:rRNA from 1 species